UGCACCAGAAGAUAGGAAUAACGAAAGUUUUAGACACAUUAUUCAAAACAAUCACAAAGUAAAAAUAAUCCUAAUAUCAUCAAUAGGGCAAUGGAUAAAUCAUGAAUUAGGAAAAAUGAUUGAACUGAAGUUAUAAACAAUGCCAUCAAUGAAUUUUAAUCAACAUAAGGCUGAACUGAAGAAACCAGACAUAAGUGAAGAAAGACUAUAAGAUUUUGAUUAUGAAAGGUCUUAACCACUUUGUAUGAGGGGGGAUAUGUAAACAGUAAAGCAAUAAUAUGAUUAGUAUAAAAGUUGAGACAGUAGUCAUCUUUAAGGAGGAGGAAGGAGGUUGAAUUAGCAAGUGACACUUAGUGUCUGGGGAGCUGGUAAUACUCUAUUUUUUUGACCUGGGUGGCACUUACCUGUACUUUUAUACUUUGUACACUUAUUUACACGUGGUGUUUUCACAACACAAAUAAAUCUUUACAAUGCAAUACUUUUAGCUCUUUGUACCUAUUUCUGCCAGUUCUCCCAAGGAAGAAAUUCACAGUAUCAUAAGCAGCUAUAUUUGGCUUUUAAAAUCCAAUCGAACAUUUCCAAUUUUUAACCCCAUCUCCUUAAUCCCAUAAAUAUUCCAUCUCUUUGACCCAGUGUCCUUAGAUUAAAGUUAGGCAUCUUGAAGCAGAAUGUUUUAAAUGAUUACUUUUGCCUAGUGCCCUUUCAAAAGAAUCAGACCAGCUAGGAGAAAAAGUCCCCCUUUGUUGGUAGUUGGGCGUGGUUAAGAUUUGAGCUCAUAAUUCUUCCCCUUGAUUGUGUCGAUCAUAUUCUUUGGCAUGCCUCCCAUAGGUUUUUUUUCCAUAUUUGCUCCGCAUCCCUUGUGUGAAAGUAAGCCAUCUUCCAACAGACUGUGUGGGAUUUCUGAGGACCCUCAUUCUGACUGUUAGGUCCUACACUCUCUCUUUCCUCUUGUGCAGGCCAUCAAGAUAAGGCAUUGGGAGAGAACUGGGCUUCCUUAGAGUCACUCUCUGGGUCCUCUACCAAUAGGUAGUUCACACUCAACCUUAAGAAAGUUUGGGAAUUUCUAAGACAGCAAUUUGGCUAGGGUAUUAUCUAAUCUGUUUGGUGAAUUGCGAAAGGACCUGAGAUUAGACCUGAGUCUGAGGCAACUGGGAGUUCAAGAUAAGGGGAAGGGAUGAGUCUCAGGGUGGAAAUCCCCAGGAUGGAAAAACGCAGCUAACAACUUUCUUUCAUUUUAUCCCUUUAGACAGUCCUUCCCUCAGGCUCACCGUCAAACUCUCAGGGAAGAAGUAUUAGGGAAAAGGAUUUAUCCCCAACCCUGGUGUGGACCUUCAGUUAAGUCCUAUAUCAAUGGUCCGGGGUAAGGAAAGAUAAGAACUGAUGCAGUCUUUUUAUAUUUCUCAUUUCCGAGUGGCCACCAGUUGCCCUCCUUUUCUGGUUGCCAUGUAGAAUAGCCUUCAGGUUCUCCAAAAUUUUCUUGUUGCUGCUAUUCUUGUUGUUUCCUGCAUUACAUGUUUUAGUCUGUAUUUUUUUUUUCAAGGGUUUCUGUGUGCGUGUGUGUAUGUGUGUGUGUGGUGGCAGGUAGAGAAAUUCAAUUUAGUGAGAUGGAGAGCCUGAGUCCGACUGUGCUUGGGUAUAUGUGGGCUUGACAAGCAGAUGCUAACAUAGGCCCAGAUCCUAGAAAACUAUAGAAUUCAUUACAUCUUAAGUGUGUUGUGGAUCUAGUCAGAAUCUGGAGGCAAGGCUACCAGGGAGCAUAAAGGCAAGAAAUCAGGUCUGGAAAAUACAGAAGGAAGAAAGGGCAAGAAGGCCAAAAUCAUGUGGACAGAAUAAUCCACACAGGUUGCGGGUGGGAUAUUAUUAGCCUCUCAUGCACGUUAAAGACAUGGAAUAUGUACUCAGCAUAGUGUAACUAUGCAUUGAGUUCAGUGAUGCAACUUUUAAAGAGAGUUAGUGAAUAUUUUCCACUUCCAUCGUCAUUAAUUACCUAUUUUGUAUCCUAUACUCCUCAAGGAUAAUGGGAACCUGACAUGCAGUGUGGGGGAGCUAGUGGUAGAGAAUGACAUAUAAAACAUAAUAUGUAUAAUAAUAUAGACUCAGGUACUUCAAUUUCAAGUUGAUUGGACUAAGUGCACAGAUGAAGGAAUUUGAUCUCAUGCAAGGACAGGAAAUCUUCUUCCACUGUAAAGUAUGACAAAGGGUAAAGUGUUGGUGUUGAAAAGCAGGGGGAGUUGAUUUUUCUCAGGUAAGAAACUGAAAGUAUCACCUAGUAUGGAUGAGAAGUUGGCAAAAGUGUGAAGAUCUGGGGAGAGGGUUAAAGGUUUAAAACAGCAGAGCACAGAAUCAGAGAGAGGAGUAUGGAAACACAGACAUAUUGUCAAGACAAGUAAGACCAGUUGAAAAUCAUGAAUCUACAGUAAACCAAUAUGGGUAAUUUUGUGGUAUUUUUAGCCAUUUGUAACCAUCCAGGUUGGAUACAUCCAUGAUUGAAGUUGUUUAAUGGGACCGAAGGAAAGAAAAUACAAGAAGAUUUGGGGACACUGGGCAAGAGAACUAGUUGGCUGUUGCAAAAUGAAGUGUUGAUGUGAUAUUGAACCUCUUGUUAAAUACAUAUUCACAGUCAAGAUGAUAUGUGCAAGAUUGAAGGACAACAACCCUAUUCAACAGUAACUAAAACAACCUUCUUUUAGUUGAAUGACUGAAUCCAGCAAAACAUCAGUGCUGAUGACAAUGGAGAACAGAGAUGUGCCAUUAUUAGUAGAUACCUGAAAGAACCUCUCAAAUUGAUAAUGAACACCUUGGCAACACUAGGAUGGAAGUACUACUCAGUACUU
rnacentral:lncRNA from 1 species